AGUGAACGCUGGCGGUAGGCCUAACACAUGCAAGUCGAACGGCAGCACAGUAAGAGCUUGCUCUUACGUGUGGCGAGUCGCGCACGGGUGUGGAUUACAUCUGACUCUCCUUUUUCGUGGUGGGUAACGUCGUGAGACUUACGCUAUUACUGCAUACUACCUACGGGUUCAAGCAUGGGAUCUUCGGACCUUGUUCGUUGGUAUGAGCUGAUGUCGGAUUAGCUAGUUGGCGGGGUAAAGGCCCACCAAGGCGACGAUCCGUAGCUGGUCUGAGAGGAUGAUCAGCCACACUGGAACUGAGACACGGUCCAGACUCCUACGGGAGGCAGCAGUGGGGAAUAUUGGACAAUGGGCGCAAGCCUGAUCCAGCCAUACCGCGUGGGUGAAGAAGGCCUUCGGGUUGUAAAGCCCUUUUGUUGGGAAAGAAAAGCGGCAGGUUAAUACCCCGCUGUUCUGACGGUACCCAAAGAAUAAGCACCGGCUAACUUCGUG
rnacentral:rRNA from 1 species